rnacentral:misc_RNA from 1 species
AAGGAUCAUUGCGAGUCUAGAUACAGAUAGGUUGAAACAGGGGAGGGGGAGGAUGGGGGAGAGAGUGAGAGGUUCUUCACGGAUCUUUCACUCCCUCUACCACCACCACCAAGUCACUUCACUCAUCGACAGCUGUAUUCUUCAGAGUAUUCUGACGAAAAACAACUUUUAACAACGGAUCUCUAGGCUCUU